UACGUAGGGGGCUAGCGUUGUCCGGAAUCAUUGGGCGUAAAGCGCGUGUAGGCGGUCCGGUAAGUCCGCUGUGAAAGUCGAGGGCUCAACCCUCGAAUGCCGGUGGAUACUGUCGGGCUUGAGUACGGGAGAGGCGAGUGGAAUUCCUGGUGUAGCGGUGAAAUGCGCAGAUAUCAGGAAGAACACCUAUGGCGAAGGCAGCUCUCUGGGACGGUACUGACGCUGAGACGCGAAAGCGUGGGGAGCGAACAGG
rnacentral:rRNA from 1 species